UACCGGCGGCUCGAGUGGUGGCCGAUAUUAUUGAGUCUAAAGGGUCCGUAGCCGGCUUUGCAAGUCUCUCGGGAAAUCCAGCGGCUUAACCGUUGGUCGUCCGGGGGGUACUACAUUGCUUGGGACUGGGAGAGGUAGGAGGUACUCAGGGGGUAGGAGUGAAAUCCUGUAAUCCUUUGGGGACCACCGGUGGCGAAGGCGUCCUACCAGAACAGGUCCGACGGUGAGGGACGAAAGCUAGGGGCACGAA
rnacentral:rRNA from 2 species